rnacentral:rRNA from 1 species
CUACGGGACGCUCCAGUGAGGAAUAUUGCACAAUGGGGGGAACCCUGAUGCAGCAACGCCGCGUGGAGGAUGACGCAUUUCGGUGUGUAAACUCCUUUCAUAUGUCAAGAAAAUGACGGUAGCAUAUGAAUAGGCACCGGCUAACUCCGUGCCAGCAGCCGCGGUAAUACGGAGGGUGCAAGCGUUACUCGGAAUCACUGGGCGUAAAGGACGCGUAGGCGGGUUGGAAAGUCAGGUGUGAAAUCCUACAGCUUAACUGUAGAACUGCACUUGAAACUUCUAAUCUAGAGUAUGGGAGGGGGAGAUGGAAUUAGUGGUGUAGGGGUAAAAUCCGUAGAUAUCACUAGGAAUACCUAAAGCGAAGGCGAUCUCCUGGAACAUUACUGACGCUAAGGCGUGAAAGCGUGGGGAGCAAACAGGAUUAGAUACCCUAGUAGUC